CCUACGUGAGGCUGCAGUGAGGAAUAUUGGUCACUGGACGAGAGUCUGAACCAGCCAAGUAGCGUGAAGGAUGACUGCCCUAUGGGUUGUACACUUCUUUUAUAUGGGAAUAAAAUGUUCCACGUGUGGGAUUUUGUAUGUACCCUAUGAAUACGGAUCGGCUAACUCCGUGCCAGCAGCCGCGGUAAUACGGAGGAUCCGAGCGUUAUCCGUAUUUAUUGGGUUUAAAGGGAGCGUAGGUGGAUUGUUAAGUCAGUUGUGAAAGUUUGCGGCUCAACCGUAAAAUUGCAGUUGAAACUGGCAGGCUGGAGUACAGUAGAGGUGGGCGGAAUUCGUGGUGUAGCGGUGAAAUGCUUAGAUAUCACGAAGAACUCCGAUUGCGAAGGCAGUUCACUGGACUGCAACUGACACUGAGGCUCGAAAGUGUGGGUAUCAAACAGGAUUAGAUACCCGGGUAGUC
rnacentral:rRNA from 1 species